AUGGGACAAAGGGUAUGGUUGUUGGAUCAAAGCUAGAUAUAUUUCAUUGAUUUUCCUGCUUGCAAUCCUUGUGACUACUAUGUUUUAGGGAAACAUAGCAGAGUCACAAGGAUUGCAAGCAGGAACAUCAAUGAAACAUACCUUUCUUUGAUCCAAUAACCAUAUCUUUUGUCCCAUGC